AUGUUGCUCUACAGUCUCACCUGGCAUGUUGCGCUACAGUCUCACCUGGCAUGUUGUUCUACAGAAUCAGUCUCACCUGGCAUGUUGUUCUACAGAAUCAGUCCCACCUGGCAUGUUGUUCUACAGUCUCACCUGGCAUGUUGUUCUACAGUCUCACCUGGCAUGUUGUUCUACAGAAUCAGUCUCACCUGGCAUGUUGUUCUACAGUCUCACCUGGCAUGUUGUUCUACAGUCUCACCUGGUAUGUUGUUCUACAGUCUCACCUGGCAUGUUGUUCUACAGAAUCAGUCUCACCUGGCAUGUUGUUCUACAGUCUCACCUGGCAUGUUGUUCUACAGAAUCAGUCUCACCUGGCAUGUUGUUCUACAGUCUCACCUGGCAUGUUGUUCUACAGUCUCACCUGGCAUGUUGUUCUACAGAAUCAGUCUCACCUGGCAUGUUGUUCUACAGAAUCAGUCUCACCUGGCAUGUUGUUCUACAGAAUCAGUCUCACCUGACAUGUUGUUCUACAGUCUCACCUGGCAUGUUGUUCUACAGUCUACCUGGCAUGUUGUUCUACAGAAUCAGUCUCACCUGACAUGUUGUUCUACAGUCUCACCUGGCAUGUUGUUCUACAGAAUCAGUCUCACCUGGCAUGUUGUUCUACAGUCUCACCUGGCAUGUUGUUCUACAGAAUCAGUCUCACCUGACAUGUUGUUCUACAGUCUCACCUGGCAUGUUGUUCUACAGUCUCACCUGGCAUGUUGUUCUACAGUCUACCUGGCAUGUUGUUCUACAGAAUCAGUCUCACCUGGCAUGUUGUUCUACAGAAUCAGUCUCACCUGGCAUGUUGUUCUACAGUCUCACCUGGCAUGUUGUUCUACAGUCUCACCUGGCAUGUUGUUCUACAGAAUCAGUCUCACCUGGCAUGUUGUUCUACAGUCUCACCUGGCAUGUUGUUCUACAGUCUCACCUGGCAUGUUGUUCUACAGAAUCAGUCUCACCUGGCAUGUUGUUCUACAGUCUCACCUGGCAUGUUGUUCUACAGUCUCACCUGGCAUGUUGUUCUACAGUCUCACCUGGCAUGUUGUUCUACAGAAUCAGUCUCACCUGGCAUGUUGUUCUACAGAAUCAGUCUCACCUGGCAUGUUGUUCUACAGAAUCAGUCUCACCAGGCAUGUUGUUCUACAGAAUCAGUCUCACCUGGCAUGUUGUUCUACAGAAUCAGUCUCACCUGGCAUGUUGUUCUACAGAAUCAGUCUCACCUGGCAUGUUGUUCUACAGUCUCACCUGGCAUGUUGCUCUUCCAGUACGGAGUCUUUGAUCUUAAUCUCCUGCUGGAGCUCCAAUACCUGGUAG
rnacentral:lncRNA from 1 species